rnacentral:rRNA from 1 species
GACGAACGCUGGCGGCGUGCUUAACACAUGCAAGUCGAACGGAAAGGCCCUGCUUUUGUGGGGUGCUCGAGUGGCGAACGGGUGAGUAACACGUGAGUAACCUGCCCUUGACUUUGGGAUAACAUCAGGAAACUGGGGCUAAUACCGGAUAGGAGCUCCUGCUGCAUGGUGGGGGUUGGAAAGUUUCGGCGGUUGGGGAUGGACUCGCGGCUUAUCAGCUUGUUGGUGGGGUAGUGGCUUACCAAGGCUUUGACGGGUAGCCGGCCUGAGAGGGUGACCGGCCACAUUGGGACUGAGAGACGGCCCAGACUCCUACGGGAGGCAGCAGUGGGGAAUAUUGCACAAUGGGCGGAAGCCUGAUGCAGCAACGCCGCGUGCGGGAUGACGGCCUUCGGGUGGUAAACCGCUUUCGCCUGUGACGAAGCGUGAGUGACGGUAAUGGGUAAAGAAGCACCGGCUGACUACGUG